ensembl:lncRNA
UGGACGGCGACGAUCUGUGCGUGGACGUGGAUGAGUGCGACAGUGGUCACUGCGAGUUCAACUGCACCAACACCCCCGGCGGAUACCAGUGCCACUGUCCCCCCGGCUACUACCUCCGCGGCCUCGACUGCAUCCUGGACGGCGAUGGCGAGGAAGCGUCCUCGGGGGAUUUGGAGCCCGAACCGCACGAGCCGGUCCCCAGCCGGCCCCCGCCGAAAGCGGAGCACCUGCACCCCGGGGUGCUGGCGGGCAUCGCGGUGAGUGCCCUUCUGAGCCUCCUGGCCCUGCUGGCUCUGGGAUUCUACCUGGCCAGGAAGCGCUGUCGUUCCCACGGCUCUGUGGAUUACAAGUACAGCGGCCCCCAUGAGAAGGAGCUGGGGCUUCAGCCCGUCCCCUCGGCACAGAAGCCGUAGGGACAUCCGUCGGACGGACAUUGGGAGGCCAAAGUGGGUGACAUUUAUCCGCCGCUAACCACCCCCCACUACCACCCCCCCUCCCCCGCCCCUUCCCCGCUGCCCGGCUGGAAUUUUUGAAUGAUAAUUGGGGAAAAGCUGUGAUCGCACCACUCCCAGAAAUACUCGCUGCUUCCCAGCCGGCUCUUGGAAUGCUAGUGCCGGAGAGCGGGAACAGCAGGACACCCAGAGGCUGCUCCGUUCCCCCUUCUUUGGCAUUCAGCUUUCCUUUUCCCGAGUGAGCAGUCGGGAAAACCGCAAGGAAAAACCCAGGAGAGACGACUCCGUGUGUAAGUGACUCUAAAUCCGUGGGAUGAGAGCACGGUGUGACCAAGACGGGGACUUUGGAAGGACACCUUGACCCAAAUCCGCCUCCCUCGGGCUGGAUGGUUUUCCCGGACUGGAAGGCUCCUGCUUUUCUUUGGGGUGGGGUUUGUUUGUUUUAAGCUGAGGGAAUGAGGAGCAAAGAUGUUGUGGGAAGCACUUGUCACCUUAAGCCACAGGUGAGAGCAGGCUCGAUGUCACCAAGGGGGGAUUCAACUUAUUCCCAUUCCGUCUCCUUAUUUUUUGCGGGGUGUGGAGGUUAAACAGGGACACGAAGGCUGCCGGGAUGGGUUUUGUAGGAAAGGUUUGCAGUGCUGCAGAACCACAUCCAGUUCCUUCCAUGACUUUCCACUGUUGUUGCCUUAAAUUGUUGGAUUUGGGAUAUUUUUACGACCCCUCCCACCCAAAGAGAUUUUCCCUGUUCCCUCGUGCAGGGUUGACUCUAUCCCAAAGUAAAACAUUCCCAGGGGGCGGGAUCCAGCGCGCCGCUCAUUCCCAGCCACGGACCGUGUGGGAGUUCUGAGAAGAAUCUAGUUUUCCAGCUCCAUCCUUCCCUGGGGAGCCAAAGGGGGUCCUCUUCGGGCUGCCGUUGGAUCGGGAGCGUCAGAGCACGUGCUGGCAGCUUUAUGCUGGUGAAAUAUUAUCCCGGAGUGGUGGAAGUUUUGGAAGCCUGGGAUCAGAACUGGGGGGUUCUGUUCCCCAGCAUUCUCCCCUCCCACCCUAUGAACUUCCCAGCACGCAUCUCCCCUGGAAUGCUAAACCUCCGCUGCAAAUUCCCAGGAAAAUCAAAAUGAGGCAUUUAUGGGAAUUGUGGUUUUCCUAAAAGGUCGUUAUCCUGAAGGCUGGAUAACUGAGGGUCCUGUCCAUGGAUCUCUUGGAAUGGAUUAAAGUGAAACCACAUGGAGUGAGGGCUGUAAAUCUGUGGAUGUGCCAGGUUUAUUUUAGGACAAUUUGGCUGCAGUGGGAAGGAGGGAGCUGUUGUGAUUAUCCAUAAUUAUCCGUGAUUAUCCAGAAAGAGAUAUCAAAAUAUAAAGGUGUCACUUUGGAAAAUAUCCAAGGAAAAGGAAGGGAAAGAAAGGAUAAGGUUUGGGAGUGGAAAGACUUUGCUGAGGCAUCAUUUCACCUGCAGAAUCUGCUUCCCAUGGAUCUUUCCUUGUUAUCCAGCUCAAACCCCUGCUCAUUCCUGGAUGGAUCCGAGGUUUUGCCACCACAUCCCCAAAACCUCCUCCUUCCCCCUGAUCUCAAAUUCCCACUUCGGAGUUUUAUCUUAUCACAAAUUCCUUCCUUACUGUGUGUCAGAAAACUGAAUUCUUGGCACUCCCUGUUUUAGCCUCUCCCAGCCCCACCUGCUCCUCCCGGGCCCUUUUGUAAAUCCUUAUUUAUUUAUUGGAAUUUUACUCUGUGUGAGGGAUUGUCUCAUGGAGAUCCUGUGUGGACACCAAUAAAGUUUUGCCAAUCUGGUUUAGACUAA